GGCCAAGUAGCUCAGUUGGUAGAGCAGAGGACUGAAAAUCCUUGUGUCGGUGGUUCGAUUCCGCCCUUGGCCACCC
rnacentral:tRNA from 1 species